ACAACAACAUUCGGACCGUCGGUCUACCGAGCAAUAUCACCCGCUCGGUGGAAGAUCUUCUCUCUGUCGUAUAUC
rnacentral:pre_miRNA from 1 species